CCUACGGGAGGCAGCAGUGGGGAAUCUUGCACAAUGGAGGAAACUCUGAUGCAGCGAUGCCGCGUGAGUGAAGAAGGCCUUUGGGUUGUAAAGCUCUUUUGUAGGGGAAGAUAAUGACUGUACCCUAAGAAUAAGGUCCGGCUAACUUCGUGCCAGCAGCCGCGGUAAUACGAAGGGACCUAGCGUAGUUCGGAAUUACUGGGCGUAAAGCGCGCGUAGGCCGUUGAGUUAGUUAAUUGUGAAAUCCCAAAGCUUAACUUUGGAACUGCAAUUAAAACUGCUCGACUAGAGUUUGAUAGAGGAAAGCGGAAUACAUAGUGUAGAGGUGAAAUUCGUAGAUAUUAUGUAGAACACCAGUUGCGAAGGCGGCUUUCUGGAUCAACACUGACGCUGAGGCGCGAAAGUAUGGGUAGCAAAGAGGAUUAGAUACCCUCGUAGUCCAUACCAUAAACGAUGAUNUNUANAUGUGUAAGUUAUUUACUAUAUCGCAGCUACGACAUAAGUACACUACCGCCUCGAGGAGUACGACCGACCGAACGGUUAAAACGUUAACGAAACGGAAAGUUAAGUACGGCGUUGAGACGUUGCCGAACGGACGACGACGAGGGAGGAGG
rnacentral:rRNA from 1 species